UGUAUGCUUAUCAGUGUGGGGUGUGCGGCCUUCGGGCAGCCUUGAAUGAUCUCUGGAUCGGCCCCACACUGCGUAAAAAAAACUUUUUAAAUCACAAUUAUUCCUAUAUCCUGUGCUUUCUCUUCGCGGAGAGGCACAAGUAAAAAAACGUGACAACUUCUAACGGUGGAUCUCUUGGCUCGUGCAUCGAUGAAGAACGUAGCCAGUUGCGAUAAGUAGUGUGAAUUGCAGAAUUCAGUGAAUCAUCGAAUCUUUGAACGCAAAUUGCGCUCUCUGGACCUCCAGGGAGCAUGUCUGUCUGAGUGUCGUGCAAAACCUACACACCUCGGUGUGGUCAGGGAGUUCAGGCGACUCGCUCUCGUCUGUCUCUCCAUGUGCUUGGACCCGACGCAGCGUACCUGGCGCUGAACGGAAGGCUCAACUUGCUUCUGUCCUUGCGUCUUUCAGCACUACCAGUGUACACUGUAUGGGUUCCCCCGCUCUCUGAGCAACACUUACAUCUAUGACCUCAGAUCAGGCAAGACUACCCGCUGAAUUUAAGCAUAUCAAUAAGCGGAGGA
rnacentral:rRNA from 1 species